CCUACGGGAGGCAGCAGUGGGGAAUAUUGCACAAUGGGGGAGACCCUGAUGCAGCCACGCCGCGUGAAGGAAGACGGUUUUCGGAGUGUCAACUUCUGUUCGUCGUGAAGAAUAAUGACGGUAGCUAAGGCGCAGGCCACGGCUAACUACGUGCCAGCCGCCGCGGUAAUGCGUCGGUGGCAGGCGUUGUACGGAAUUACUGGGGGUAAAGGGGGCGCAGGCGGGAAGCCAAGUCCGCUGGUAAAACUACGGGCUUAACUUGUAGAGUGCAGUUGAAACUGGUUUUCUUGAGUGAACGAGAGGUAGGCGGAAUUCCGAGUGUAGCGGUGAAAUGCGUAGAUAUUCGGAGGAACACCGGUGGCGAAGGCGGCAAACUGG
rnacentral:rRNA from 1 species